rnacentral:rRNA from 1 species
UACGUAGGGGGCAAGCGUUGUCCGGAUUCAUUGGGCGUAAAGAGCGUGUAGGCGGCCAGGUAGGUCGGUUGUGAAAACUGGAGGCUCAACCUUCAGAGGUCGACCGAAACCAUCUGGCUAGAGUCCGGGAGAGGAGAGUGGAAUUCCCAGUGUAGUGGUGAAAUGCGCAGAUAUUAGGAAGAACACCGGUGGCGAAGGCGGCUCUCUGGAACGGUACUGACGCUGAGACGCGAAAGCGUGGGGAGCGAACAGG